rnacentral:lncRNA from 1 species
AAAAAAUGUGUCAAGUUGACUCACCUGAAUCCCCCAAAUUGAACGAUGCUGUUGAGAGGAACCUGCCAAAAGAUGCUUCAAUGGGGACUGUUAGUAGCACAGAUCCUCAUGCACUACCUCCACCUCCACCUCCACCUCCACCUCCAUCUCCACCUCCACCUCCACCUCCCACACUGUCACAACCACUCCCAAUGGAGCCUGCAAGUCAGUCACAGCAGCACAAUAAAGAUGCAACACCACCAUCUAAACGGGGCCGAGGAAGGCCAAGAAGAGCAACU